UACAGAGGGUGCAAGCGUUGUUCGGAAUUACUGGGCGUAAAGCGCGUGUAGGCUGCGAUGUAAGUCAGGCGUGAAAGCCCUCAGCUUAACUGAGGAAGUGCACUUGAUACUGCAUCGCUCGAGUGUCGGAGGGGGUGGCGGAAUUCCCGGUGUAGAGGUGAAAUUCGUAGAUAUCGGGAGGAACACCUGUGGCGAAGGCGGCCACCUGGACGACAACUGACGCUGAGACGCGAAAGCGUGGGUAGCAAACAGG
rnacentral:rRNA from 1 species